AAUAGAUACCCCGGUAGUCCAUGCUGUAAACGAUGUCUACUAGCCGUUGGGGCCUUUGAGGCUUUAGUGGCGCAGCUAACGCGAUAAGUAGACCGCCUGGGGAGUACGGUCGCAAGACUAAAACUCAAAUGAAUUGACGGGGGCCCGCACAAGCGGUGGAGCAUGUGGUUUAAUUCGAUGCAACGCGAAGAACCUUACCUGGCCUUGACAUACUAAGAACUUUCUAGAGAUAGAUUGGUGCCUUCGGGAACUUAGAUACAGGUGCUGCAUGGCUGUCGUCAGCUCGUGUCGUGAGAUGUUGGGUUAAGUCCCGCAACGAGCGCAACCCUUUUCCUUACUUGCCAGCAUUUCGGAUGGGAACUUUAAGGAUACUGCCAGUGACAAACUGGAGGAAGGCGGGGACGACGUCAAGUCAUCAUGGCCCUUACGGCCAGGGCUACACACGUGCUACAAUGGUCGGUACAAAGGGUUGCUACACAGCGAUGUGAUGCUAAUCUCAAAAAGCCGAUCGUAGUCCGGA
rnacentral:rRNA from 1 species